GGCCUUUAUAAUGUUUUGUUCCGGCCUUGACGAAGUCAACAUGUACCGCACUAAUGGAAAAGAAGUUUAUAAUGCAAAGUGUGGGACAGUGACUCUGUAUAUGUCACAGUUGGAUGGCGGAAAAUGCAAAAUAUAUAUUAUGAGGGUUAAGUUGAAGGGUGUUGUUUCCGUAAGCUGUAACGUUCUGUAAAUUGUCUAGCACCGAUGCGAUGUGAUGGUAGAAUAAAACCGACAUAUCAUUUUGAAGCAAAGUGCAAGAGGGUGAUUUACGGAUCAUGGCAUAUUGCUUUUUUUUAACAUUCAAUUUGUGUGUUGGUACGAGCAUGAAACUGUUGAACAGUUUAAGUUUGUAUUAUGGUUGAGAGAAUUUAAAAACUAAUUAAAAGGAUGUUAAAAAACAAGGAUCAGCAAAGGAUUGAGAAUAACUUUUUUUAAGGUCGCUGAUGCAGUUGAUGAAGUUCGGACGUAAAUGAAGCUUGAAGACGAAUCUCUGAAUUCUUCACAUCCUUUUCGAACAAAAAUGAUUGCGAACAAUUAACAUUGGAGUUUUUUUGUUGUUCAUUUUUUCAUUGCAUAUGUUUUUGUGAUUUUUUUUUUUUUUCUUUGUUUUGGUAUUUUUGGAACUUCCUACCUAUCGAACUGAGUAGAUGUAGAGAAGAAAAACUAUUUAAAAUUAAGUUUUUACUAUAUUUAAUCAAUGAUCAUACGUAUCUUAAUCUUUUGAAUUAUUCUUAAAAGACAUUUCAUUUAGGUUUAUAACACAAAAAUUAUUAAAAAACAACGGCAACACUUACAGUUAUGUAUGAUACCUUUUUCAAAAGCCGGAAUUGUUCACAUUUUCAAUUCUGUCCAAUAAAUAAAAUUAAAUUUAAACAUAAUUGAGAAUACACACUAUAUAAUUUAUUAUUU